UACGUAGGGGGCGAGCGUUGUCCGGAUUCAUUGGGCGUAAAGAGCUCGUAGGCGGCUUGGCAAGUCGGGUGUGAAAACUUCAGGCUCAACCUGGAGCGGCCACUCGAUACUGCCAUGGCUUGAGUCCGGUAGGGGACCACGGAAUUCCUGGUGUAGCGGUGAAAUGCGCAGAUAUCAGGAGGAACACCGAUGGCGAAGGCAGGUCUCUGGGCCACUACUGACGCUGAGAAGCGAAAGCAUGGGGAGCGAACAGG
rnacentral:rRNA from 1 species